rnacentral:rRNA from 1 species
UACAGAGGUGGGCAAGCGUUGUUCGGAAUUACUGGGCGUAAAGGGCGCGUAGGCGGCCCGGUAAGUCCGCUGUGAAAGUCGAGGGCUCAACCCUCGAAUGCCGGUGGAUACUGUCGGGCUAGAGUGCGGAAGAGGCGAGUGGAAUUCCUGGUGUAGCGGUGAAAUGCGCAGAUAUCAGGAGGAACACCUAUUGCGAAGGCAGCUCGCUGGGACGUUACUGACGCUGAGACGCGAAAGCGUGGGGAGCAAACAGG